CAUACGCAAGACAACUUGACUUCACCAUGUAAUGGUUGGCUGGCUUGCUGAAGAUCUGGGAACAAUGCAAGCUAUGAUGUAACAAUGACAAUAUUCCCAUCCAGAACCAACUUGUAAGGAAGGUGUAAUGCAACAGGACAGCUACAAUCGUGCACGUAGUUUUGUUGCCAACACUGGGGACUCCAAUCAUAAACAACAAGUAAGCCACCAUGAGGUUGAAGCAAACAUGGAGCUGGAUCUGUAUUCCUGUGAAGGAGUAUGGUUAGCGCGAAUCCCACAAUAGAAAUAGCACAACCAACAUCAGCGAAGACUGACAGAGCAACGUCACCAGGUACUUCAUGGA